GACGAACGCUGGCGGCGUGCUUAACACAUGCAAGUCGAACGGAAAGGCCCUGCUUGCAGGGUACUCGAGUGGCGAACGGGUGAGUAACACGUGGGUGAUCUGCCCUGCACUUCGGGAUAAGCUUGGGAAACUGGGUCUAAUACCGGAUAGGAGCCAUCUUUAGUGUGGUGGUUGGAAAGUUUUUUCGGUGUAGGAUGAGCUCGCGGCCUAUCAGCUUGUUGGUGGGGUAAUGGCCUACCAAGGCGGCGACGGGUAGCCGGCCUGAGAGGGUGUACGGCCACAUUGGGACUGAGAUACGGCCCAGACUCCUACGGGAGGCAGCAGUGGGGAAUAUUGCACAAUGGGCGCAGGCCUGAUGCAGCGACGCCGCGUGGGGGAUGAAGGCCUUCGGGUUGUAAACUCCUUUCGCUAGGGACGAAGCUUUGUUGUGACGGUACCUAGAUAAGAAGCACCGGCUAACUACGUG
rnacentral:rRNA from 1 species